rnacentral:lncRNA from 1 species
CAGAUCUCCGAUGUGCCUAGCCGGCCCCCACAAUCAGCACGGCUGCUCUGACGUAGAGGGCCACCUGGCAAGACACUGGGGGAAACCUCCAGCAAAGAGCCAGAAAGGAACUGAGGUCCUCCGUCCGACAGCCUGUGAAGAACUGCAGCCUGCCAAUAACCACAUGGUUUCUUAGCAGGAUGGCUGUGACUCAGGAUCUCUCAUAAAAUUUAAGUCAAUCUAUUGGCUGAGGCUGCUGUCAUCUGAAGGCUUGACUGGGCUGGAGGAUCUACUUCCAAGAAGGUGCACUCCCAUGGCUAUUAGCUGGAGGCCUGCAUUCCUCAAAGGCUCUUGGCUAGAGGCCUCAGUUAAUUCCUGACCAUACGGGCCUCUCCACAGGGCUACCUGAGUAUCCUCAAGACAUGGCAACUGGCCUUCCCCAGAGACAGUGAUUCAAAAAUGAGAAAGAGAGGCUAAGAUGGAAGGCACAAUACUUUUUUAUAAAUUAGCCUUUAACAUCUUUCAGAGGUGGAACUUAAUUCCUCUCCCUUUAUGUGUGGGCUGGAUUUAGUGAGUUGAUUCUCAUAGACAGAAUAAAACAAAGCACAAGUGUUUAUUUUUUUUCUUGUACUUCCUGUAGUUUUACCUUUGUGAAUAUUGAUAUUGUGUUAUUCAGUGCUUCUAUCUGCACUGUUAAUUGCACUUUUUAACAAAAUUGAAAGCCCAUUUUGACUUAUUUAAUGCUUUGUCCUGUAUUCAACCUUGUCUGAUAUUAAAAUGACUAACUUGUUUUCUUUUUGUUUGCAUUGUCUGGUAUAUUUCACUCAUCCAUUUGUUUUCAAACUUUCUGAAUUGCUUGCUUUAGGGGUGUUUCUUAUGUACAGCAUAAACUUUAGAUUUUCUUUGUGAUGUAUUCUAAAAGUUAUUUUCUUUC